rnacentral:rRNA from 1 species
UACGUAGGGAGCAAGCGUUGUCCGGAAUCAUUGGGCGUAAAGGGCGCGUAGGCGGCCUGUUAAGUCGAACGUGAAAUCCCCGGGCUCAACCCGGGAACUGCGUCCGAUACUGGCAGGCUUGAAUUCGGGAGAGGGAUGCGGAAUUCCAGGUGUAGCGGUGAAAUGCGUAGAUAUCUGGAGGAACACCGGUGGCGAAGGCGGCAUCCUGGACCGAGAUUGACGCUGAGGCGCGAAAGCCAGGGGAGCAAACGGG